rnacentral:rRNA from 1 species
GACGAACGCUGGCGGCGUGCCUAAUACAUGCAAGUAGAACGCUGAAGAGAGGAGCUUGCUCUUCUUGGAUGAGUUGCGAACGGGUGAGUAACGCGUAGGUAACCUGCCUGGUAGCGGGGGAUAACUAUUGGAAACGAUAGCUAAUACCGCAUAAAAUUGAUUAUUGCAUGAUAAUUAAUUGAAAGAUGCAACUGCAUCACUACCAGAUGGACCUGCGUUGUAUUAGCUAGUUGGUGAGGUAACGGCUCACCAAGGCGACGAUACAUAGCCGACCUGAGAGGGUGAUCGGCCACACUGGGACUGAGACACGGCCCAGGCUCCUACGGGAGGCAGCAGUAGGGAAUCUUCGGCAAUGGGGGGAACCCUGACCGAGCAACGCCGCGUGAGUGAAGAAGGUUUUCGGAUCGUAAAGCUCUGUUGUAAGAGAAGAACGGGUGUGAGAGUGGAAAGUUCACACUGUGACGGUAUCUUACCAGAAAGGGACGGCUAACUACGUG